UCCGUAGACUGUACUGUAAGUUAUUUGUUAAAUCCUAAAGCUCAACUUUAGAACAGCUUAUAAUACUACUUUACUUGAGUUUUGUUCAGAAGAGUAGAAUUCCAUGUUUAGGGAUAAGCCCGUAGAUAUAUGGAGGAACACCUGUGGCGAAGGCGACUCUUUGGUAAAAACUGACGUUGAGGGACGAAAGUGUAGGGAGCAAACA
rnacentral:rRNA from 1 species